rnacentral:rRNA from 1 species
GACGAACGCUGGCGGCGUGCCUAACACAUGCAAGUCGAGCGGAGAUAAUAGCAAUAUUAUCUUAGCGGCGGACGGGUGAGUAACGCGUGGGCAACCUGCCAAUCACAGGGGGAUAACACAGGGAAACUUGUGCUAAUACCGCAUAACACAUCGAGGUAGCAUUACCUUGCUGUCAAAGGAGCAAUCCGGUGAUAGAUGGGCCCGCGUCCAAUUAGCCAGUUGGUGAUGUAACGGACCACCAAGGCGACGAUUGGUAGCCGAACUGAGAGGUUGAUCGGCCACAUUGGGACUGAGACACGGCCCAGACUCCUACGGGAGGCAGCAGUGGGGAAUAUUGCACAAUGGGGGAAACCCUGAUGCAGCAACGCCGCGUGAAGGAUGAAGGUUUUCGGAUUGUAAACUUCUUUAGUCAGGGACGAAUAAAUGACGGUACCUGAAGAAUAAGCCACGGCUAACUACGUGCCAGCAGCCGCCGUAA